GGUUAUUGAUAACACUUGUGGUAAUAGAGAACAACUUGUUUCUCCAAUUACUCCAAUGGGUGGUAGUG
rnacentral:ncRNA from 2 species